AGAGUUUGAUCCUGGCUCAGGAUGUACGCUGGCGGCGUGCUUAACACAUGCAAGUCGAACGAAACACCUUAUUUGAUUUUCUUCGGAACUGAAGAUUUGGUGAUUGAGUGGCGGACGGGUGAGUAACGCGUGGGUAACCUGCCCUGUACAGGGGGAUAACAGUCAGAAAUGACUGCUAAUACCGCAUAAGACCACAGCACCACAUGGUGCAGGGGUAAAAACUCCGGUGGUACAGGAUGGACCCGCGUCUGAUUAGCUGGUUGGUGAGGUAACGGCUCACCAAGGCGACGAUCAGUAGCCGGCUUGAGAGAGUGAACGGCCACAUUGGGACUGAGACACGGCCCAAACUCCUACGGGAGGCAGUAGUGGGGAAUAUUGCACAAUGGGGGAAACCCUGAUGCAGCGACGCCGCGUGAAGGAAGAAGUAUCUCGGUAUGUAAACUUCUAUCAGCAGGGAAGAUAAUGACGGUACCUGACUAAGAAGCCCCGGCUAACUACGUGCCAGCAGCCGCGGUAAUACGUAGGGGGCAAGCGUUAUCCGGAUUUACUGGGUGUAAAGGGAGCGUAGACGGCGCAGCAAGUCUGAUGUGAAAGGCAGGGGCUUAACCCCUGGACUGCAUUGGAAACUGCUGUGCUUGAGUGCCGGAGGGGUAAGCGGAAUUCCUAGUGUAGCGGUGAAAUGCGUAGAUAUUAGGAGGAACACCAGUGGCGAAGGCGGCUUACUGGACGGUAACUGACGUUGAGGCUCGAAAGCGUGGGGAGCAAACAGGAUUAGAUACCCUGGUAGUCCACGCCGUAAACGAU
rnacentral:rRNA from 1 species